rnacentral:rRNA from 1 species
AACGAGCGCUGGCGGCAUGCCUAACACAUGCAAGUCGAACGAGACCUUCGGGUCUAGUGGCGCACGGGUGCGUAACGCGUGGGAACCUGCCCUUAGGUUCGGAAUAACUCCCCGAAAGGGGUGCUAAUACCGGAUAAUGUCUUCGGACCAAAGAUUUAUCGCCUUUGGAUGGGCCCGCGUUGGAUUAGCUAGUUGGUAGGGUAAAAGCCUACCAAGGCGACGAUCCAUAGCUGGUCUGAGAGGAUGAUCAGCCACACUGGGACUGAGACACGGCCCAGACUCCUACGGGAGGCAGCAGUGGGGAAUAGUGGACAAUGGGCGAAAGCCUGAUCCAGCAAUGCCGCGUGAGUGAUGAAGGCCUUAGGGUUGUAAAGCUCUUUUACCCGGGAUGAUAAUGACAGUACCGGGAGAAUAAGCUCCGGCUAACUCCGUG